GAUGUAGCCGCCAAAAUAUCCGGGAAACGGAUUGUAACGGUUUGGAGUGCUGUGAGUUCUUUCGAGGCACCGCGUUGCGUAAAAGAAAAAGUCGAGUUCGGGGAUCCGUUUCGUUUGACUCUGAAGUUUCAAGCCGGUGAUGUGCCGUGCUGCCUACACCGGUCACUGAGAUGAGCAUAGUGCUGGUUGGAGCGACUGCCCUAUGGAGUUUCGAGUAGGCAAUGGAGCGAAGCCUCAAUUCAGCGCCCAGUUCCCACACGCUGGCCAUUUCACUGACCCUAUUCGAGUUUCUUGAGACACGGGUCAGAAUUCAGAGAGAAUUGCCUCUGGAGCACAGGGUGGUGGCAACGGAUGGGACUUGUUGCGGCACAGCGCUCCCGAAACAGAUCGCAAAACCAGGUGGUUUUCAAACCGACGCAGCAAGAGUGAGAAGCAAAGGUCUUUUGCAGGUACCGCUCGACGCCGACCUGGGAUGGAUGAAACGUAUUUUAAUGCUUUCAUAGUCACGUUGCAUGAGAUUGGGGAAGCGUACACCUUUCCCCUGACCGAGCGCUGCCGCUCAUACGAACGCUUGGAACUUUCGGUACCUGGAGAUCUUCCAGGAGAAGCUGUCACUGCAAUGGAAGGUUGCGAACAUGGUCCCUAUAAUUGGAGAAGGUAUCUCGUACUCGAGACAUAUGUGUUUGCACUUGCGCGCCGCGUAGCAACAAGAAGCCGUGCAUGCAAGGCCGGCACGUACACACAUGAAGCGGGAUCAAGCCGAUGCGUGUCGGUCUCAGAGGUUUGGCGUUGAUGCUUCAUCGUACGUUGCCUGCCCCGAUGCCGCACGAGCCCGCGCACAAUUGAGCAACGGAUCGUGAGAUGCUCUUGUGCUGCUCGAUGGAGCUUGCUAUCAUCGAUGCGCAGGUUUCCUGGAGUGCCUGGUAUUGCCUCGAUGCCACCGAUCGAAUAGCGGCUUGCUCAAAACGAUUGGCUGCGUAGGCUGGUAACCAAAUGGAACCCAGGGCGCCGCUGACCCGCGUUCGCCACAUGCGAUGCUCGCCACACCUGGUCACGAAUCUGCAGUCGAAUGGUGGUGUGUAUGCGCUCGAUGCUGGCUGGGGCGGCAACCGUGCCCCACGCCCAGGAUGCAUCCACCGCCCGAGACGCAUCGGUGGGGAUCAUUGCGGGUGCGCAGCGGCCUACCGCGCGAUCGACGAUCGGGAUCUCGUGCCAGCGAGGCACGGGGCUGAAACAUGGACGAAGUAGGACCUUGCGGACAAGGCGGACACGGGGGCGACACGCGUCGCGCGUGCGGUGUUGACGGCGGCGGUUUCCAGCGAUGCAUGUCGCGUCACAAACGCGCUCGUCUGACGCUGCCUUGGGCCACAGAAUGCGGACUGCGCUGGGGCGUUUCCAACACGCGCUCUGAGGGCACUGUUGAAGCGUUGGUCGGAGUUUCGGGACGCUGACCAGCUACUGGUUCCGUAUUCUGUGUGACGAGGGUCAAGUGCUCGCUCGUUGUCUCUAUUGGCGAGUUAGCACGCACGAAACCUGGCCAUGAGGGCAGACACGGUCGCAUUCCUCGUUUGGAGCGGACUUGGUCCAAACUCGAGGCAGCCGCGUGCGUCGUCGUCGAGGUCACUGCUACGUCUGCAAGCAGGUGCCGCUAGCCACGAAAACGAGCCGCCUGUUGGUAGUCGCGAGCAGAAGCAGUCGGCUUCUUUGAAGUACGAGGCUGCAAAAGAGUUACCAGCGGGCGCGAAUGAAAACGCGUCCCCGCCCGCGAACCAUAAAAUCACGCCGACGAACGGGGUAUCGCCGAGAAUCUCUCUACAAGAG
rnacentral:misc_RNA from 1 species